UUUGUCAAACCUCUGUUCCUGGCACUCCAAAGCCUUACUCCUGCACGGUGUCACUGCUGGCCUGGCUGCCUGGGACUGCAGGGCACACUGGUGUGACACCACCCUGCCCUGUCCCUCACAGCCCCCACACCCUGUGUUCCCUCUCAGACUGCAAAAUCCUGUAGGUUUGGAGUAUUUUUUUUUUUUGGGCUAACUUCUGACAGUUCUUUUUUAUUAAUUUUUUUUUUUUUAUUUAUUUAGACACAGACUGUUUAACAAAAGAGAUUUGAUUGGGGAGGCAAGGUCUGUGGGAGCACCUCACAUUAUUCCCAUCUCCAUCUGCAGCUUGGAGGCAAAACCUCUGUGAGUGAGGAAAAGCCCACAGGGGCUCUGCAGAUCACCCUUAGCAGCUCAUUUUGACUUCCAGCCACAAACCUGCCCUUUUUUGUGACAAGAAAAGGUCACAGGGCCUUUCUUGGGGACAGCAACCCCUUCUAUUCCAAGCACAGGCCCUGCUGAGGAGUGAGGAAUAUUUCACCACAGGGAUGGAGAGCUCCACACGUGCCUCCCUUUCCUUCCCUACACUGAGGGGGGAAACUCCUCCACUCAGCACCACCUGGUGAUGAUUUCCACAACAAUUUCAGCAUGAAGGAUGCAGGAUAUCCACCUGUACCUCCAGGCAGGCACACAAAGAAGCUGGGAAGCAGUUUUAAAGGGAGAACCUCAAGUCUCAGGGAAGUGUUCAAGGUCACUGUACACUCAGUGUUUAAAUUUUCCAGAACUGCUCAUUCUCAGGUUUGGUUUACAGAAGAAUCAACAAUAGCAAGAAUACACUGAAUUCAAACUAUGGUCUGAAAACCAGUUUUUGUUUUGGGUCCAGAAAUGCAUGACUCAUUUAUUUAAAAGGAAAAAAAAAGAAAAAAGAAAAGUUCUUUACUGUUUUACAGCGAUGAUCACAGAGGUUUACACAGCCAUCCUUGGUCAGUCAGAUGUGAGAAAGAUGACAGAAAUUAGUAUUUCUUCAAAGGUCCAGACUCUCUGUAUCUGCAGUUGCAGAUACUGACAAGAAAGACUGCAGGUCUGCACUUUGAACUAAAUAAGCGAAAAGCAACACUAGAAAGAAAUAGAGAAAUGGAUUUACUGGGCUCCAGAGGAAAGAACAAUAAUUUGAAAAGUGAUGCUGCAAACUGACAGUGCUGCAGAAAUACCUCAGUGAGGGAAUUUGAUAAUAAAUAAGCAAAUAUCUUGUUUGUGACACGUGAACAUUAAAUGUGCCAGCAGCGGAGAAAAGCUUCACUAGAGGCAGAUGACACCAGAAAAGUUCUGAUAAGCUGAAAAAGGGUCCAGAUAAGGACUUGAAAAGGAAAGCAUCAGAACAUUGGUGGUGACUCAGCAUCAGGAAUUAUCACUUGGGAUGGAGAAGGAAGGGACUGGGUUCAAGGAGGCAAAGACUUUUAAAAAACUUGGGUGAUUUUAGCUGUGCUAAACCUCAGAACUUUGCCUCAGAGCACCACCAGAGGAGUCCAGGGAAGGGAAUGAGCAAUGUGGCACCAGAACUAGUGGGUGGUUGGCUGCCUGGCCUCCAGAAAAAAAGAGGGUGGAAAUUUUGGCAACAGGGAGCAUCAAAGAGCUGGAGUGGCCACUGGGCUUCACCAGCACCUUGGCAACCUCUCCUCCCUCUCCCAGCCACUGGCAGCACCUUCAGGCAGAAUGCCCAAAGUUCCUGGUCCCUGGGAUGGGGAGGGGGUGGCUUAAAACAGGACAAGGCAAGGGAUUGUGGCUGCAACCAGAGGAAAGGAAAACCCGUUUAUAAAAGGAGGCCAAAAGAGCUUGACGUGGUUAGUCUGGCAAAACACACCUCAGUAAGGAUAAUAAAAACAUCUCAGUAAGGAAAUAAUUGCUCUCUAUAAAUAUAUCAGAGGGUAAAUGCCAGAGAAGCUAAAGAAUAUUUCAGCCAAGACUUGGGAACACAACUGGUGGGGCCAUAAAUAAAUUUAAGAUAGAAAUUACAUAAUUUUAAGCUGUAGCAAAACUGGGAAACUUCACAGCCUUCAUAAAGACAUUUUAGGGUGGAGGAAAGAAACUCAGCUAGUUUUAAAUCACAAUUUGCUUGCUCUGUGAGAAAGUGUCUCAGAUGGUGGGGAAUGUGGAGAGAAGACUAGGUUAUGACUUUUUUUUGUUCUUGUAUACCUUAUUUUUGGCAAAAAAACCUCAACAUAAGUAGGUCAAUGGAUUUUUAAUUUGGGCAGAUUUUUUUUCCUCCCCCUCCAUGGCAGGUCCUGGCUCUCCUGGCUGACGCUCUUAAUGACAGAAUCCAACUUCCUAUUGAUCCCACAAACCUUCUCCCAGUAACUCUCAGCACUGCCAGCAAAGCACCUUUCUCACCACUGGGCUUCUCUCACGGUGUCUGACUCCAGUAAUUUCCUAAGUGGACUCUUUGCUUUAAGCAGCAGCUCUGUUCCCCCUGAUAAGGAUCAUUAAAUAUCUGCAAAUGAAAUGGAGGCACUUGUGGCUGGCCUAAAUGGCUUGGCUGCUGAAAUGCUUGGUCAUGCAGGAGUUUUCUGCCUGCCUGCUGCUGCAGUGGUGAUGUGCAAAAUGUGGAUUUUCCACCCUUGCAUCCCAGAGGUGCAGCAGAAACAAAGGGAAAAUGGCAGCUCUGUUUCCACUCUGGAAAAUAAAGAUAGUUUCAGCACAUGCUUGUAAAUCAAAGGUGAAACAUUAAAAACAAAAAAAGGAAAAAAAAAAAAGGAAAAAAAAUAAAAAUAGCAGGAACUCCCCUGAACAAACCACCCUGACAUCCUCAUAAUGAACAACCAGAAUGGUCUCAGCAAAUCUGAGAAAAUGCAAAGCAGAGGAUUAACUGGGCAACUUGCAACUGCUUGAUAAAAUCAUGAUGCAGAACAUACCAUGGCAAAUAAAGACCUCUUAAGCUGUGCAAGCAUAAAGCCUUGCAGACCAGGCAGCUCAGUGCACCUUGAACAAUUACAAAAGCGCAUCAUAUUUUAUGUUCAGAUGUAUUCAGAUGUAGGAAGGCACUGAAGAGCCUAGGAGACUUAUUCAGAAGAGAAAAGGGACAUAUAUUUGGAGAAAUAAUGAGUGCAAAUCCAUAAACAGGAGAGAAUUGUGUUUAGCAUACACAGAGUUUGAGAGAACCAAAGUCCAAAUACAGGAUUUCAUUUGUAAAGCUGUGACAUGAAACAGAAGACAUUUAAAAAAAACCCCAAAACAUUGAUGUAAUUGGUAAAUGGACUGGCUUGAGACUUAUUUUUGUCUGCCAGCAAUAUCUGCUGGCUUGUGGUCAGUCCAGAGGAUAACAUAAACCUGUGCAGAUUUCAGUAAAAAUAAACCAAAAGCAAGCCUAACCAGCACAUUAACCCAACAUCAGGCUUUCUUGACAAUCUCUGAAGUGGGAAACUCAAUUAACAAGGAAAUUGUAUUGAUUUGGUUUAAGCCAGAUGAGGUUAUAUGCUUGCUUAGUCAACAAGAAUACCCACGUUAAUAGGCUGAAAAUGAGUUGUGUUUCAAAGAUUAAAUUAAUGGCAAAUGGAUAGGAUUCACUUGGAUUUUUUUUUUCCUCAAGUUCCUCCAAACCUAUUUAAUUACAGGGCUCAGCAGUUCUACAACAACCCAGAAUAAACUCCAGGCUUUUGUCUGGGCUUUCAUGUCCUCAGGACCAUGCAGGCUGUUUUCCAGCCUCACAGACAUUAUUCCUGGUUCUCCACAAGCACCUGCCAGGGCUUUUAAACUCCUCCCAUCCACAUCCUCACCCUGCUGAGGCAGGGAUUGUCACAUCUGGACAGUGACAUCCCUACAACAAACAGGGAUCUCUCACAAAGAUACACAGGACAGAAGGUCUGCACUCCUCCUGCCUAUUUUUUUUUCUGGAAUAGAUAUUCUAUCCUUAAACAAUUACAGGGGAUCACUGGACACAGAGCAAGGAUGACUUUUGCCUUGACUCAUUACAAACAUUCUCUAUUUCAAUUUUUUUUUUUUUUCAGUUACCAAAGCUUCACCGAGCUUUUACACCAAAUACCUGCACCAGACACAAGGAGAAAAGUUAUUAUUAUUAUUAUUAUUAUUAUUAUUAUUAUUAUUAUUAUUAUUAUUAUUAUUAUUAUUAUUAUUAUAAUAAGCUUAAUUUUAAGUGCAAACAGGGCCCCAAAGCGCUGCUUUUGGGAAAAGGAUUGGUUUUCCCUUUGGUGUGCUGAUGGCAGGGGUUGUAGCCCCAAAGGAAGGAGGGGAGAGCAGGAGGAUCUGCUGAGGUAUUCCCUGAAAAGCUGGUAUUUCUGCUCAUUUCUUCCCAGAUGCUCCACAGUCAUGGAAAACUUGUCAUUUUUCUCCAUGCAGCAUCCCCUGCCUCAGGUAUUUGUCAGACCAUGAGGGGUCUGUGCACCACCAAAGCUUACAAUUCCCUCACUGCUUUUAGAAGUUAGGGCUGUGAUUUUCUACCAGCACCAUAAAUUAUCCCAUAAAUUACCUGAGGUGCUGACUCCUGCUUGGGCCAGCUUUCAUCUCAGUGAGACACACAUAAAUUCCCCAAGCUACAGAAAGUGCACGUGGGGCAUGGGAUCCCUGUCCUAGGAUCUCUCACUCACCAGGAGCUUAAAUCCCGUGGGCUCAGCUCAGCUUCCUUCCUUCCUCAGGGGCCAAAGGCACAGACUCCCCCACAUCCAAAUGUCAGGUUUGGCACUCUAAGUGCUGCUCUCCAGGCUGAUUUGCAAGGGUUUUUUAAGAGUCAAAUAGCAGGGGUUAAAAAAAAAAAAAACAAACAAAAACAAAUGCCCAAACCUGAAUAACCCGAGCCCAGCACAGCUCCAUCUCCCAGCCUGAGGGCUGCCCAGCAGAACUGGGAGCUGUGCUAAUCCCUAAUUAAGUCUAAUCUACACCAGGGAGGGUUUGUUGAUUUAGCUAGAUAGGGAGGGAGAUACUGACAGGUUAGUCCUGGUGUGCAGAGGGGGGGAAAAACUCCAAAACCAUGAUUGGUAGCAGUUGAAUUAGUAGUCAUUCUUUCUUCAGGGCAGAUAAUGAUAUAUAUUGAUGCUUCAAGAGUGAAAAAAGGGAAAUUUUGUUAUUAUUAUAUUUCUAUAUAUAUGUAUAUUUAUUUUAU